rnacentral:rRNA from 1 species
AUUGAACGCUGGCGGCAUGCCUUACACAUGCAAGUCGAACGGCAGCACGGGAGCAAUCCUGGUGGCGAGUGGCGAACGGGUGAGUAAUAUAUCGGAACGUGCCCAGUCGUGGGGGAUAACGCAGCGAAAGCUGUGCUAAUACCGCAUACGAUCUAUGGAUGAAAGUGGGGGACCGCAAGGCCUCGCGCGAUUGGAGCGGCCGAUACCAGAUUAGCUAGUUGGUGGGGUAAAGGCCCACCAAGGCGACGAUCUGUAGCUGGUCUGAGAGGACGACCAGCCACACUGGAACUGAGACACGGUCCAGACUCCUACGGGAGGCAGCAGUGGGGAAUUUUGGACAAUGGGCGCAAGCCUGAUCCAGCAAUGCCGCGUGCAGGAUGAAGGCCUUCGGGUUGUAAACUGCUUUUGUACGGAACGAAACGGUGAGCUUUAAUACAGUUUGCUAAUGACGGUACCGUAAGAAUAAGCACCGGCUAACUACGUGCCAGCCGCCGCGGUAA